AGCAGCCGCGGUAAUUCCAGCUCCAAUAGCGUAUAUUAAAGUUGUUGCAGUUAAAAAGCUCGUAGUUGAAUUUCGGGGUCAAUAAGUUGGUCGUGCCAAUGGUAUGUACUGGCUUUAUUGAUUCCUACCUCUUGACGAACUGUGAUGCCAUUAAUUUGGUGUUGCAGGAAAUCAGGACUGUUACCUUGAAAAAAUUAGAGUGUUUAAAGCAGGCUUACGCUUGAAUACAUUAGCAUGGAAUAAUGAAAUAGGACGUUUGAACCUAUUUUGUUGGUUUCUAGGAUCGACGUAAUGAUUAAUAGGGAUAGUUGGGGGCAUUAGUAUUCAAUUGUCAGAGGUGAAAUUCUUGGAUUUAUUGAAGACUAACUACUGCGAAAGCAUUUGCCAAGGAUGUUUUCAUUAAUCAAGAACGAAAGUUAGGGGAUCGAAGACGAUCAGAUACCGUCGUAGUCUUAACCAUAAACUAUGCCGACUAGGGAUCGGAUGAUGUUAAUUUUUAAUGUACUCAUUCGGCG
rnacentral:rRNA from 1 species